AUGAUAAAGUGAACGUCUUGAGCAUCUAUAAGAAAUCAAACUUUUGUUUUAUAUUAUUGAUUAGGUUAUUUUGAAAGAAAAUAUUUUUUUAACUGGAUUAUUAUACAUAAUUAUAAGUUUAUAAUAAUACAAAUAGUUUUAAUCCGGUAUAAAAAAUUGGUUUCUUUCAAUGUGUAAAAGCUAUGUUAACCAAAGACAAUACUAGGUUAUUUUGUCAGCUCUCUCAAGGCAUUAUUGAACAAAAUUCCAAUGGUAUGUGGAAUCAACAGCCCAGUAAUACAGACAGUAAAAGAAAUCACAAAAGACCAAGAUGUCAAUGAUAAUUUAUGUAAAAUGGCUUUUGAUGAAAUGUCAAUAAGAAAAAAUCUGACAUAUAACGUAAAACUCAAUGCUAAGGCCGUACUACUGUGAUAGCAAACCAUAGUCGAACUUUCAUGGUUAUCGGUGUUCGAAAAUGCUGGAAACAGCCAAUAGCAUUUUACUUCUCAGGAGAUUGUGACACAGCAGACAAGUCAGCAGCUCUUGUCGAGGAGGUACAGUAAAGUGGAGCCACAUAGAGGAGUUUUAUAAUAAAGAUCGCGAGAAUCCCAACCGUGUUUGCUCCAGCUUUAACCCAGCACCACUUACAACCAGUACAGAAUGGCAAACAGAAAAUCAAAGAGCGCCUAGCAGAUCAAAUUUUAAGCCAUUCGGUUGCAGUUGGAAUAUUUGCCAAAAUGAAUGAUGACAAGACGCCCCUGGAACAACUGUCGCUGGACAAGCUUUUCGACUGAACGGAGAUUCGACCGACAGGAAAGAGGUAUAAACACUUAUUAUAAUAAUACUUGACAUCUGUAAUUGUGGAUGUGAUCCAAACCCCACGUCGGUCCAAUUAAAAACUAGCUUAGGCAAUUAGUAGCAGCGUUUUUAAUACGCUGAAAUUAUUAUUCUUCGAAGACACUAAACCUAGCUGCGCAACUGAAUAUCCCUGUAACAGCCAGGUGGAACCUCCAACCUCCCAGGGAAAUUAAGUGGCAUCGCCGACUCAGCUACGCCUACGUCUGGCUAUGCUCUCGGGGUG